rnacentral:misc_RNA from 1 species
UCUUCGUAGGUGAACCUGCGAAGGGAUCAUUAGCGGCUCACACUUCUUGGGUCGAGGGCCGACCUUCAUCGGUUGCCCCACCUUUCUGGAUGACACGGGGCGUGGGUGUGGUGGUGGUGGCGAGGCCGGUUGGAGGGCGAGGGGGGGGGCCCCGCAUGGUUCUUUCCGUCUCAGUCACAUAUUUAAUAUUUCAACCUUUCCACAACGGAUCUCUUUGCUCUUGCACCGAUGACGAACGCAGCAGAUCGUAAAAGCACCCUUCUGAACUCCACUCCCCGG